GGGUUGUGAGGUUAAGCGACUAAGCGUACACGGUGGAUGCCCUGGCAGUCAGAGGCGAUGAAGGACGUGCUAAUCUGCGAUAAGCGUCGGUAAGGUGAUAUGAACCGUUAUAACCGGCGAUUUCCGAAUGGGGAAACCCAGUGUGUUUCGACACACUAUCAUUAACUGAAUCCAUAGGUUAAUGAGGCGAACCGGGGGAACUGAAACAUCUAAGUACCCCGAGGAAAAGAAAUCAACCGAGAUUCCCCCAGUAGCGGCGAGCGAACGGGGAGCAGCCCAGAGCCUGAAUCAGUGUGUGUGUUAGUGGAAGCGUCUGGAAAGGCGCGCGAUACAGGGUGACAGCCCCGUACACAAAAAUGCACAUGCUGUGAGCUCGAUGAGUAGGGCGGGACACGUGGUAUCCUGUCUGAAUAUGGGGGGACCAUCCUCCAAGGCUAAAUACUCCUGACUGACCGAUAGUGAACCAGUACCGUGAGGGAAAGGCGAAAAGAACCCCGGCGAGGGGAGUGAAAAAGAACCUGAAACCGUGUACGUACAAGCAGUGGGAGCACGCUUAGGCGUGUGACUGCGUACCUUUUGUAUAAUGGGUCAGCGACUUAUAUUCUGUAGCAAGGUUAACCGAAUAGGGGAGCCGAAGGGAAACCGAGUCUUAACUGGGCGUUAAGUUGCAGGGUAUAGACCCGAAACCCGGUGAUCUAGCCAUGGGCAGGUUGAAGGUUGGGUAACACUAACUGGAGGACCGAACCGACUAAUGUUGAAAAAUUAGCGGAUGACUUGUGGCUGGGGGUGAAAGGCCAAUCAAACCGGGAGAUAGCUGGUUCUCCCCGAAAGCUAUUUAGGUAGCGCCUCGUGAAUUCAUCUCCGGGGGUAGAGCACUGUUUCGGCAAGGGGGUCAUCCCGACUUACCAACCCGAUGCAAACUGCGAAUACCGGAGAAUGUUAUCACGGGAGACACACGGCGGGUGCUAACGUCCGUCGUGAAGAGGGAAACAACCCAGACCGCCAGCUAAGGUCCCAAAGUCAUGGUUAAGUGGGAAACGAUGUGGGAAGGCCCAGACAGCCAGGAUGUUGGCUUAGAAGCAGCCAUCAUUUAAAGAAAGCGUAAUAGCUCACUGGUCGAGUCGGCCUGCGCGGAAGAUGUAACGGGGCUAAACCAUGCACCGAAGCUGCGGCAGCGACACUAUGUGUUGUUGGGUAGGGGAGCGUUCUGUAAGCCUGUGAAGGUGUGCUGUGAGGCAUGCUGGAGGUAUCAGAAGUGCGAAUGCUGACAUAAGUAACGAUAAAGCGGGUGAAAAGCCCGCUCGCCGGAAGACCAAGGGUUCCUGUCCAACGUUAAUCGGGGCAGGGUGAGUCGACCCCUAAGGCGAGGCCGAAAGGCGUAGUCGAUGGGAAACAGGUUAAUAUUCCUGUACUUGGUGUUACUGCGAAGGGGGGACGGAGAAGGCUAUGUUGGCCGGGCGACGGUUGUCCCGGUUUAAGCGUGUAGGCUGGUUUUCCAGGCAAAUCCGGAAAAUCAAGGCUGAGGCGUGAUGACGAGGCACUACGGUGCUGAAGCAACAAAUGCCCUGCUUCCAGGAAAAGCCUCUAAGCAUCAGGUAACAUCAAAUCGUACCCCAAACCGACACAGGUGGUCAGGUAGAGAAUACCAAGGCGCUUGAGAGAACUCGGGUGAAGGAACUAGGCAAAAUGGUGCCGUAACUUCGGGAGAAGGCACGCUGAUAUGUAGGUGAAGUCCCUCGCGGAUGGAGCUGAAAUCAGUCGAAGAUACCAGCUGGCUGCAACUGUUUAUUAAAAACACAGCACUGUGCAAACACGAAAGUGGACGUAUACGGUGUGACGCCUGCCCGGUGC
rnacentral:rRNA from 1 species